rnacentral:rRNA from 1 species
AGUAAAAGUCGUAACAAGGUCUCCGUAGGUGAACCUGCGGAGGGAUCAUUACAAGUGACCCCGGUCUUACCACCGGGAUGUUCAUAACCCUUUGUUGUCCGACUCUGUUGCCUCCGGGGCGACCCUGCCUUCGGGCGGGGGCUCCGGGUGGACACUUCAAACACUUGCGUAACUUUGCAGUCUGAGUAAACUUAAUUAAUAAAUUAAAACUUUUAACAACGGAUCUCUUGGCUCUGGCAUCGAUGAAGAACGCAGCGAAAUGCGAUAAGUAAUGUGAAUUGCAGAAUUCAGUGAAUCAUCGAAUCUUUGAACGCACAUUGCGCCCCCUGGUAUUCCGGGGGGCAUGCCUGUUCGAGCGUCAUUUCACCACUCAAGCCUCGCUUGGUAUUGGGCAACGCGGUCCGCCGCGUGCCUCAAAUCGACCGGCUGGGUCUUCUGUCCCCUAAGCGUUGUGGAAACUAUUCGCUAAAGGGUGUUCGGGAGGCUACGCCGUAAAACAACCCCAUUUCUAAGGUUGACCUCGGAUCAGGUAGGGAUACCCGCUGAACUUAAGCAUAUCAAUAAGCGGAGGAAAAGAAACCAACAGGGAUUGCCCCAGUAACG